CUUGGAGAUGACCUUGAAGGGCCAGUGCUUCAUGUCAGACUGAACCUCAGGAUCAUCAAAUUUACGGCCGAUCAAACGCUUGGCAUCAAAGAUGGUGUUGUGGGGGUUCAUGGCGACUUGGUUCUUAGCAGCGUCACCAAUGAGACGCUCGGUAUCGGUAAAGGCAACAUAAGAAGGGGUAGUGCGGUUACCUUGAUCGUUGGCGAUAAUUUCGACACGGUUGUUGGAAAAGUGUCCAACACAAGAGUAGGUAGUACCCAAAUCAAUUCCGAUUGAUUUGCUCAUAUUGAUGUGAAAAGACAAAAAACAAAUAAAAAAGACUAAAGUUUAUUUGGGGAUUAUAAAAAGGAACGUGGGAUAUAAAUAAUUUAAUAUAGCACUCCUUAUUUAAGAUGCAAUAGAUAACUUUCUUCGUUAACUUCCUAUAAGGAAAAUGAUUUAUUACUCCUUAAUUGAUAUUAAUGCAAGUAAUAGGAAUACACGAUGUUGGGAGGGUGGGAUAUUCAUCGUAUUUAUUACAUUAGGCUACGGUUCUCGAAGUUUCCCAAAACCCUAACCCUCGCUCGUAAAGCACCUUACAGAACGUUUGGGUAGAACAGUAGAGAAUCUUUCGAACACCGUACGUCAUGAUGAAGCAGUUUGGUAAAGAGCGAAAAAGGAAAUCGAACAAUCCGUUAAAUUAUUUAACGAACUCGAAAGUCCUGGAAGAGCGUGGAAAGAGCCGGAAGGGAUACAGAGGACAGCGCAUUGGAGUGCAAUAAAUGCCCAGAAGUCUUAGAAAUCGUUAAAAGAAAUUACGGUUGAAUACGAGAUAAAUCAGUAAAUGGAAAGAUGAAUAGUGGAAGGAGCUUCACUAAUACGACCCGUUGAGUAUUAACACUGAGUCACUCUACUUACUCUAUUUAUAUUGGCAGGUGCAAUGAGUUUAGAAAUUGGAAUCAGCAUGUUUUCUUUAGAAAGUAUUUAGGGGGUAAUUUUGAAGAAAUAAUAAAAAAUGAAACGUUAAAUGUUUU